GAUGAACGCUGGCGGCGUGCAUAACACAUUCAAGUCGAACGGAGUUGUUGGAAUUAAUCCUUCGGGAAGCGUGAAGACAACUUAGUGGCGGACGGGUGAGUAACGCGUGAGCAACCUGCCUCUGUAUAUGGGAUAACGUUUGGAAACGGACGCUAAUACCGUAUGAAGCAUAGACACCGCAUGAUGACUAUGCCAAAGAUUUUAUUGUACAGAGAUGGGCUCGCGUCUGAUUAGGUAGUUGGUGGGGUAACGGCCCACCAAGCCGACGAUCAGUAGCCGGACUGAGAGGUUGAACGGCCACAUUGGAACUGAGAUACGGUCCAG
rnacentral:rRNA from 1 species